GACGAACGCUGGCGGCGUGCUUAACACAUGCAAGUCGAACGGAAAGGCCCUGCUUUUGUGGGGUGCUCGAGUGGCGAACGGGUGAGUAACACGUGAGUAACCUGCCCUUGACUUUGGGAUAACUUCAGGAAACUGGGGCUAAUACCAGAUAGGAGCUCCUGCUGCAUGGUGGGGGUUGGAAAGUUUCGGCGGUUGGGGAUGGACUCGCGGCUUAUCAGCUUGUUGGUGGGGUAGUGGCUUACCAAGGCUUUGACGGGUAGCCGGCCUGAGAGGGUGACCGGCCACAUUGGGACUGAGAUACGGCCCAGACUCCUACGGGAGGCAGCAGUGGGGAAUAUUGCACAAUGGGCGGAAGCCUGAUGCAGCAACGCCGCGUGCGGGAUGACGGCCUUCGGGUUGUAAACCGCUUUCGCCUGUGACGAAGCGAGAGUGACGGUAAUGGGUAAAGAAGCACCGGCUAACUACGUG
rnacentral:rRNA from 1 species